CCUACGGGAGGCAGCAGUAGGGAAUCUUCCACAAUGGGCGAAAGCCUGAUGGAGCAACGCCGCGUGGGUGAAGAAGGUCUUCGGAUCGUAAAACCCUGUUGUUAGAGAAGAAAGUGCGUGAGAGUAACUGUUCACGUUUCGACGGUAUCUAACCAGAAAGCCACGGCUAACUACGUGCCAGCAGCCGCGGUAAUACGUAGGUGGCAAGCGUUAUCCGGAUUUAUUGGGCGUAAAGGGAACGCAGGCGGUCUUUUAAGUCUGAUGUGAAAGCCUUCGGCUUAACCGGAGUAGUGCAUUGGAGACUGGGAGACUUGAGUGCAGAAGAGGAAAGUGGAACGCAAUGUGUAGCGGUGAAAUGCGUAGAGAUAUGAAAGAACACCAGUGGCGAAAGCGGCUCUCUGAUCUGUAACUGACGCUGAGGUUCGAAAGCGUGGGUAGCAAACAGGAUUAGAUACCCUAGUAGUC
rnacentral:rRNA from 1 species